rnacentral:misc_RNA from 1 species
GAUGAAGAACGUAGUGAAAUGCGAUAGGUAAUGUGAAUUGCAGAAUUCAGUGAAUCAUCGAAUCUUUGAACGCACAUUGCGCCCGCCAGUAUUCUGGCGGGCAUGCCUGUUCGAGCGUCAUUACAACCCUCAGGCCCCCGGGCCUGGCGUUGGGGAUCGGCGGAAGCCCCCUGCGGGCACAACGCCGUCCCCCAAAUACAGUGGCGGUCCCGCCGCAGCUUCCAUUGCGUAGUAGCUAACACCUCGCAACUGGAGAGCGGCGCGGCCACGCCGUAAAACACCCAACUUCUGAAUGUUGACCUCGAAUCAGGUAGGAAUACCCGCUGAACUUAAGCAUAUCAAUAAGCGGAGGA